rnacentral:misc_RNA from 1 species
AGUGUAGUGGGAUUAAUGUACUCCGGGGCAAGAACAUUUAAGAGGUGAGCAUAAGCUUCUGCAUCCUUUAUGUCAGAUGAGAAGUUUGUCACAAUUUUCUCGUAUUUAGCUUUUUUCAAUUGAAAAUUCAUCCAUCUGAGCAAGAUUUUUUCUGGAGGUAGACUCAUCAGCUCCUCUGCGUCCUUGUUAUCAUCAACUAACUCCAAUAGCUGAGGUGUUUUCUUUAAGUUGAGAUCUGCCAAUAGUUG